CAGUCGAACGAGAGAGAGGGAGCUUGCUUCCUCAAUCGAGUGGCGAACGGCUGUGUAACGCGUGAGGAACCUGCCUCAAAGAGGGGGACAACAGUUGGAAACGACUGCUAAUACCGCAUAAGCCCACAGCUCGGCAUCGAGCAGAGGGAAAAGGAGCAAUCCGCUUUGAGAUGGCCUCGCGUCCGAUUAGCUAGUUGGUGAGGUAAUGGCCCACCAAGGCGACGAUCGGUAGCCGGACUGAGAGGUUGAACGGCCACAUUGGGACUGAGACACGGCCCAAACUCCUACGGGAGGCAGCAGUGGGGAAUAUUGCACAAUGGGGGAAACCCUGAUGCAGCAACGCCGCGUGAGUGAAGAAGUAUUUCGGUAUGUAAAGCUCUAUCAGCAGGAAAGAAAAUGACGGUACCUGACUAAGAAGCCCCGGCUAACUACGUGCCAGCAGCCGCGGUAAUACGUAGGGGGCAAGCGUUAUCCGGAUUUACUGGGUGUAAAGGGAGCGUAGACGGUUUUGCAAGUCUGAAGUGAAAGCCCGGGGCUUAACCCCGGGACUGCUUUGGAAACUGUAGAACUAGAGUGCAGGAGAGGUAAGUGGAAUUCCUAGUGUAGCGGUGAAAUGCGUAGAUAUUAGGAGGAACACCAGUGGCGAAGGCGGCUUACUGGACUGUAACUGACGUUGAGGCUCGAAAGCGUGGGGAGCAAACAGGAUUAGAUACCCUGGUAGUCCACG
rnacentral:rRNA from 1 species